rnacentral:rRNA from 1 species
UACGUAGGGUGCGAGCGUUGUCCGGAAUUAUUGGGCGUAAAGAGCUCGUAGGCGGUGUGUCACGUCGGCCGUGAAAACCUGCAGCUUAACUGUGGGCGUGCGGUCGAUACGGGCAUCACUGGAGUUCGGCAGGGGAGACUGGAAUUCCUGGUGUAGCGGUGAAAUGCGCAGAUAUCAGGAGGAACACCGAUGGCGAAGGCAGGUCUCUGGGCAUUAACUGACGCUGAGGAGCGAAAAGCAUGGGGGAGC